rnacentral:rRNA from 1 species
AACGAAUGCUCGUGGCGUGCUUAACACAUGCAAGUCGAACGCUAAGUCCUUCGGGGCUUUGAGUGGCAGACGGGUGAGUAAUGCAUAGGAACGUACCUUCAGGAGGGGGACAACCACUGGAAACGGUGGCUAAUACCGCAUGAAGUCGAGAGAUGAAAGGUGGCCUCUACUUGUAAGCUACCGCCUGGAGAUCGGCCUAUGUCCCAUUAGCUUGUUGGUGAGGUAACGGCUCACCAAGGCAAUGAUGGGUAGCUGGUCUGAGAGGAUGAUCAGCCACACUGGGACUGAGACACGGCCCAG